rnacentral:rRNA from 1 species
AUUGAACGCUGGCGGCAGGCCUAACACAUGCAAGUCGAGCGGAUGAAGGGAGCUUGCUCCUGGAUUCAGCGGCGGACGGGUGAGUAAUGCCUAGGAAUCUGCCUGGUAGUGGGGGAUAACGUCCGGAAACGGGCGCUAAUACCGCAUACGUCCUGAGGGAGAAAGUGGGGGGUCUUCGGACCUCACGCUAUCAGAUGAGCCUAGGUCGGAUUAGCUAGUUGGUGGGGUAAAGGCCUACCAAGGCGACGAUCCGUAACUGGCCUGAGAGGAUGAUCAGUCACACUGGAACUGAGACACGGUCCAGACUCCUACGGGAGGCAGCAGUGGGGAAUAUUGGACAAUGGGCGAAAGCCUGAUCCAGCCAUGUCGCGUGUGUGAAGAAGGUCUUCGGAUUGUAAAGCACUUUAAGUUGGGAGGAAGGGCAGUAAGUUAAUACCUUGCUGUUUUGACGUUACCAACAGAAUAAGCACCGGCUAACUUCGUG